GGAAGGAUCAUUAACCAGUCCGGAUAACGGAAAAAGGCACGCGGGGGGAGAUCCGUCGCCAGCGGCUGCGACUCCCGCUGCCCUGUCCCGCCCACCCUCUCCGUGUACCUCUCCAUGUUGCUUUCCCGGGACGGUUGGCCCAGCCUGCCCGGUGGUGGGCUCCUCGUUUCCCCGUCUGUUGGGGCGCUGAGGUGCCCGCGGCCGAGUUUCCCGGGGAAGGUACCCUUCACAAAUCCCCUGCAGCAACCUGUCUGACACAGGCCCAUGGCCAUUGCUACAUAAUUACAUAAAACUUUCAACAACGGAUCUCUUGGUUCUCGCAUCGAUGAAGAACGCAGCGAAAUGCGAUAAGUAAUGUGAAUUGCAGAAUUCCGUGAAUCAUCGAAUCUUUGAACGCACAUUGCGCCCUCUGGCAUUCCUCAGGGCAUGCCUGUUCGAGCGUCACAGAAAGCCCCCCCUCACACACAAGCUGUGGUGAUGUCGUUGGUGAGCCUCAACCGGCUCCACCACGUCCAAAUCCAUGGGCGGACAACUGAUCUCAGCAGCUGACUUAGUAAGAUAGAGUUCAUCUGCAGUACUUGCUGUCAGAAGGAACAUCAGUCAGGAGCUAGGUUACGUCCCGUCCCCGCCUCAUUGGAACCCCCCCAUGAAAUUAUCUUUGGGUUGACCUCGGAUCAGGUAGGGAUACCCGCUGAACUUAAGCAUAUCAAUAAGCGGAGGAAAAGAAACCAACAGGGAUUGCCUCAGUAACGGCGAGUGAAGCGGCAAAAGCUCAAAUUUGAAAUCUGGCGCCUGCGGUGUCCGAGUUGUAAUUUGGAGAGGCGUCUUCUGGUGGGACCCAGCCUAUCUUCCUUGGAACAGGAGGUCACAGAGGGUGAGAAUCCCGUUCUCGGCUGGAUGCUCCCACCUGUAUGUAGUGCCUUCAACGAGUCGAGUUGUUUGGGAAUGCAGCUCAAAAUGGGUGGUAAAUUUCAUCUAAAGCUAAAUACUGGCGAGAGACCGAUAGCGCACAAGUAGAGUGAUCGAAAGAUGAAAAGCACUUUGAAAAUAGAGUCAAAAAGUACGUGAAAUUGUUGAAAGGGAAGCGCUGGAGACCAGACUCGGCCAAGGACAAACAGCCCUCCUUCUGGUGGGUGCACUUGCCCUCGGCUGGGCCAGCAUCAGUUGGGGUGACGGGACAAAGGCCUGUGGAAUGUGGCUCCCCUCGGGGAGUGUUAUAGCCAUGGGUGCAAUGCCGCCUACCCCGACUGAGGACCGCGCUUCUGCUAGGAUGCUGGCGUAAUGGUCUUCAGCGACCCGUCUUGAAACACGGACCAAGGAGUCUAACAUCUAUGCAAGUGUUUGGGCUUCAGACCCUCACGCGUAAUGAAAGUGAACGGAGGUGGGAACCUCGCGAGGGGUGCACCAUCG
rnacentral:rRNA from 1 species